AAUAGAUACCCUGGUAGUCCACGCUGUAAACGAUGGGCACUAGGUGUGGGGGGUGUCGACUCCCUCCGUGCCGAAGCUAACGCAUUAAGUGCCCCGCCUGGGGAGUACGGCCGCAAGGCUAAAACUCAAAGGAAUUGACGGGGGGCCCGCACAAGCAGCGGAGCAUGUGGUUUAAUUCGACGCAACGCGAAGAACCUUACCUGGGCUUGACAUGUUCCUGACAACCCUGGAAACAGGGCCUCCCUUCGGGGCAGGAUCACAGGUGGUGCAUGGCUGUCGUCAGCUCGUGUCGUGAGAUGUUGGGUUAAGUCCCGCAACGAGCGCAACCCCCGUCGCAUGUUGCCAGCAUUUAGUUGGGGACUCAUGCGAGACUGCCGGUGACAAACCGGAGGAAGGUGGGGAUGACGUCAAGUCAUCAUGCCCCUUAUGUCCAGGGCUACACACGUGCUACAUUGGCGCGUACAGAGGGCUGCGAUACCGCGAGGUGGAGCGAAUCCCUUAAAGCGCGUCUCGGUUCGGAUUGCAGGCUACG
rnacentral:rRNA from 1 species